CUAAACCAUGCACCGAAGCUGCGGCAGCGACACUGUGUGUUGUUGGGUAGGGGAGCGUUCUGUAAGCCUGUGAAGGUGGCCUGUGAGGGUUGCUGGAGGUAUCAGAAGUGCGAAUGCUGACAUAAGUAACGAUAAAGCGGGUGAAAAGCCCGCUCGCCGGAAGACCAAGGGUUCCUGUCCAACGUUAAUCGGGGCAGGGUGAGUCGACCCCUAAGGCGAGGCCGAAAGGCGUAGUCGAUGGGAAACGGGUUAAUAUUCCCGUACUUGGUGUUACUGCGAAGGGGGGACGGAGAAGGCUAUGUUGGCCGGGCGACGGUUGUCCCGGUUUAAGCGUGUAGGUGUGUGUUCCAGGUAAAUCCGGUUCACUUUAACACUGAGGCGUGACGACGAGGCACUACGGUGCUGAAGCAACAAAUGCCCUGCUUCCAGGAAAAGCCUCUAAGCAUCAGGUAACAUCAAAUCGUACCCCAAACCGACACAGGUGGUCAGGUAGAGAAUACCAAGGCGCUUGAGAGAACUCGGGUGAAGGAACUAGGCAAAAUGGUGCCGUAACUUCGGGAGAAGGCACGCUGACACGUAGGUGAAGUGAUUUACUCACGGAGCUGAAGUCAGUCGAAGAUACCAGCUGGCUGCAACUGUUUAUUAAAAACACAGCACUGUGCAAACACGAAAGUGGACGUAUACGGUGUGACGCCUGCCCGGUGCCGGAAGGUUAAUUGAUGGGGUCAGCGCAAGCGAAGCUCCUGAUCGAAGCCCCGGUAAACGGCGGCCGUAACUAUAACGGUCCUAAGGUAGCGAAAUUCCUUGUCGGGUAAGUUCCGACCUGCACGAAUGGCGUAAUGAUGGCCAGGCUGUCUCCACCCGAGACUCAGUGAAAUUGAACUCGCUGUGAAGAUGCAGUGUACCCGCGGCAAGACGGAAAGACCCCGUGAACCUUUACUAUAGCUUGACACUGAACAUUGAGCCUUGAUGUGUAGGAUAGGUGGGAGGCUUUGAAGUGUGGACGCCAGUCUGCAUGGAGCCGACCUUGAAAUACCACCCUUUAAUGUUUGAUGUUCUAACGUGGACCCGUGAUCCGGGUUGCGGACAGUGUCUGGUGGGUAGUUUGACUGGGGCGGUCUCCUCCUAAAGAGUAACGGAGGAGCACGAAGGUUGGCUAAUCCUGGUCGGACAUCAGGAGGUUAGUGCAAUGGCAUAAGCCAGCUUGACUGCGAGCGUGACGGCGCGAGCAGGUGCGAAAGCAGGUCAUAGUGAUCCGGUGGUUCUGAAUGGAAGGGCCAUCGCUCAACGGAUAAAAGGUACUCCGGGGAUAACAGGCUGAUACCGCCCAAGAGUUCAUAUCGACGGCGGUGUUUGGCACCUCGAUGUCGGCUCAUCACAUCCUGGGGCUGAAGUAGGUCCCAAGGGUAUGGCUGUUCGCCAUUUAAAGUGGUACGCGAGCUGGGUUUAGAACGUCGUGAGACAGUUCGGUCCCUAUCUGCCGUGGGCGCUGGAGAACUGAGGGGGGCUGCUCCUAGUACGAGAGGACCGGAGUGGACGCAUCACUGGUGUUCGGGUUGUCAUGCCAAUGGCACUGCCCGGUAGCUAAAUGCGGAAGAGAUAAGUGCUGAAAGCAUCUAAGCACGAAACUUGCCCCGA
rnacentral:rRNA from 1 species